rnacentral:tRNA from 1 species
GCGCGCUUAGCUCAGUGGCAGAGCGUCUCGUUGACGUCGAGAAGGCCAUAGGUUCAAUCCCUAUAGCGCGCA